UCUGGUUGAUCCUGCCAGUAGUUAUAUGCUUGUCUCAAAGAUUAAGCCAUGCAUGUCUAAGUACACACGAAUUAAAAGUGAAACCGCAAAAGGCUCAUUAUAUCAGUUAUGGUUCCUUAGAUCGUUAACAGUUACUUGGAUAACUGUGGUAAUUCUAGAGCUAAUACAUGCAAUUAAAACACGGACCUUAUGGGACGUGUGCUUUUAUUAGGCUAAAACCAAGCGAUCGUAAGAUCGUUACAUUGGUUGAACUCUAGAUAACAUGCAGAUCGUAUGGUCUUGUACCGACGACAGAUCUUUCCAAAUGUCUGCCCUAUCAACUUUUGAUGGUAGUAUCUAGGACUACCAUGGUUGCAACGGGUAACGGGGAAUCAGGGUUCGAUUCCGGAGAGGGAGCCUGAGAAACGGCUACCACAUCUAAGGAAGGCAGCAGGCGCGUAAAUUACCCACUCCCCAGCUCGGGGAGGUAGUGACGAAAAAUAACAAUACAGGACUCAUAUCCGAGGCCCUGUAAUUGGAAUGAGUACACUUUAAAUCCUUUAACAAGGACCAAUUGGAGGGCAAGUCUGGUGCCAGCAGCCGCGGUAAUUCCAGCUCCAAUAGCGUAUAUUAAAGUUGUUGCGGUUAAAACGUUCGUAGUUGAACUUGUGCUUCAUACGGGUAGUACAACUUACAAUUGUGGUUACUACUAUACCUUUAUGUAUGUAAGCGUAUUACCGGUGGAGUUCUUAUAUAUAAUUAAGUACUUGUAUUUUUUUAUAUAUUCCUCCUAUUUAAAAACCUGCAUUAGUGCUCUUCAUCGAGUGUUAUUGUGGGCCGGUACAAUUACUUUGAACAAAUUAGAGUGCUUAAAGCAGGCUUCAAAUGCCUGAAUAUUCUGUGCAUGGGAUAAUGAAAUAAGACCUCUGUUCUGCUUUCAUUGGUUUUCAGAUCAAGAGGUAAUGAUUAAUAGAAGCAGUUUGGGGGCAUUAGUAUUACGACGCGAGAGGUGAAAUUCUUGGACCGUCGUAAGACUAACUUAAGCGAAAGCAUUUGCCAAAGAUGUUUCAUUAAUCAAGAACGAAA
rnacentral:rRNA from 1 species